rnacentral:rRNA from 1 species
CGCGUAGGCGGCUAUUUAAGUCAGAUGUGAAAGUCCACGGCUCAACCGUGGAAGUGCAUUUGAAACUGGAUGGCUUGAGUACUGGAGGGGGUGGUGGAAUUCCCGGUGUAGAGGUGAAAUUCGUAGAUAUCGGGAGGAAUACCGGUGGCGAAGGCGACCACCUGGCCAGAUACUGACGCUGAGGUGCGAAAGCGUGGGGAGCAAACA